rnacentral:rRNA from 1 species
GGCUUAGAAGCAGCCACUCAUUAAAAGAGUGCGUAAUAGCUCACUGGUCGAGUGACUCUGCGCCGAAAAUUUAACGGGGCUAAACUAUACACCGAAGCUUGGGAUACAUCUAAUGUAUGGUAGGAGAGCGUUCUGUAUGGGGAGAAGUCGUAGCGAAAGCGGCGGUGGACUAUACAGAAGUGAGAAUGCCGGAAUAAGUAGCGAGAAUUAAGUGAGAAUCUUAAUGGCCGAAAGUCUAAGGUUUUUGGAGGAAGGUUCGUCCGCUCCAAGUAAGUCGGGAGCUAAGGUCAGGCCGAAAGGCGUAGCCGAUGCACAUACGGUUGAUAUUCCGUAACCAUCUGUAAUUUAAGCAAAGGGACACUUCAAAAGGGUGUGACCCGGGCGUUGGUUGACCCGGGCGUAAGGGACCGAAAUUAGAGUAGGGAAGCACACUUAGCUGAAGGCGAGAAAAGCUUUGCGUAUAGAAGCAGAUGCCCGUACCGCAAACCGACACAGGUGGACAGGAAGAGAAUUCUAAGGCCAGCGGGAGAAGGGUAGUUAAGGAACUCGGCAAAUUGACUCCGUAACUUCGGAAUAAGGAGUGCUCGAAAGAGCCGCAGAGAAUAGGCCCAGGCGACUGUUUAGCAAAAACACAGGUCUCUGCCAAAUCGAAAGAUGAAGUAUAGGGGCUGACACCUGCCCGGUGCCGGAAGGUUAAGAGGAGGAGUGAGAGCUCCGAAUUGAAGCCCCGGUAAACGGCGGCCGUAACUAUAACGGUCCUAAGGUAGCGAAAUUCCUUGUCGGGUAAGUUCCGACCCGCACGAAUGGUGUAACGAUCUGGGCACUGUCUCAACUACCCACCCGGCGAAAUUGUAGUACCGGUGAAGAUGCCGGUUACCUGCGGCAAGACGGAAAGACCCCAUGGAGCUUUACUGUAGCCUGAUAUUGGGUUUCGGAAAUCUAUGUACAGGAUAGGCGGGAGACUGGGAAACAUGAGCGUCAGCUUGUGUGGAGUCGAUGUUGGGAUACCGCCCUUAGGUUUCUGGAAUUCUAACCUGCGGCCGUGAAUCCGGUCGGGGGACAUUGUCAGGUGGGCAGUUUGACUGGGGCGGUCGCCUCCGAAAAGGUAACGGAGGCGCUCAAAGGUUAGCUCAGCACGGACGGAAACCGUGCCUCUGAGUGUAAACGCAAAAGCUAGCCUAACUGCGAGGGUGACGGCCCGAGCAGUAACGAAAGUUGGAGUUAGUGAUCCGGCGGUAUGUGAAUGGAAAUGCCGUCGCUCAACGGAUAAAAGCUACCCUGGGGAUAACAGGCUGAUCUCCCCCAAGAGUCCACAUCGACGGGGAGGUU